ensembl:lncRNA novel transcript
UACUUACAGGUAAGUAAACCUGGGCCCAAGAUCACAGAGCACACAGCUGGAAUUCACAGCAAGACCUGAUUGACUUCGAAGUCAGUGGUCUUUCCCCUGCUUCCCACGAGACAGUUUUGAUCAUCGAUGAUUUUCUGGUUCUAAUGAGAUCAAGGACAUGAAGAGGCUGAGUGCCUCCAUGAGCUUCAUUAUUUUCCAUGAUCUGACCUCUCAUUCUCUUAAGCUUUGGAGUUGGAUGAAGGAAGAACUCUGAAAAAAAGUAUCUGCACCCAAGGACCCACACCCAAGGAGCAGUACCAGAGGGAACACAUCUGAAGAGCCCUAUCUGGAUUUGCCAACAUGAUUUAGAUGAUAAGAUACUGGACUUUGAGCUGGUGCCAUAAUGGGAUGAGGCUUUGGGAGUCCAAAGGGAGAUAAGUGUAAGUGUAUUUCACCGGUGAAGAAUGUAAAACAUAAAAGGCCAGAACAUGAACUCUGCAGCUAAUCUCCAAAGAUGGCUCUCAGUGAACCACACCUCAUGGAAUUCAUGUCCUUGCAUAGUCCCCUCCCGCACUGAAUCUGGGUUAACUUUGUGACUUUCUCUAACUAUCAGAAUGUGACAGAAGUAACAAUAUGAUACAUCCCUCCAUUUAGUGAGAUCAUCUUUAAUUUCUCCCAAUAAUGUUUUGUAGUUUUCUGUGUAGAGGUCUUACAAAUUUUUUAGAUUGAUUCUUUGACAUGUGACUUUUCUAUGCUGUUGAUAAAUGAUAUUUUGUUAAAAUUUUUAUUUUCUAAUUGCUUGUUACUAGCAUAUAGAAACUUAAUUACAUAUAGAAACUAAGUACAGGACUUUGUUUAUUGACUAUGUAUU